rnacentral:rRNA from 1 species
AUGAGCAAAUCUAUAUCACUGCCAUCAUUUUCUACAAAAUUCCCCAAAGUUUCUUUCAACGACCUAACCAGAGCAACCGAGGGGUUCUCGACAUCUAAUUUGAUUGGUAGAGGAAGAUACAGUUCUGUGUACCAAGGAAAACUAGUUGAAGACCAAAAUGAGGUUGCCAUAAAAGUCUUCAACCUAGAGAUAAGAGGAGCACACAAGAGCUUCAUUGCAGAAUGUAAUGCAUUGAGAAAUGUGCGACAUCGCAAUCUGGUCCCUAUUCUAACUGCAUGCUCGAGCAUUGAUUCUAAGGGCAAUGAUUUCAAGGCCCUGGUGUAUGAGCUCAUGCCACGAGGAGACUUACAUAAACUACUAUACUCAACUCAAGACUAUGAAUGCUCUUCAGAUUUGAACCUCAUUAUGAUGGCUCAAAGGAUAAGCAUUGUGGUGGACGUGGCGGAUGCACUGGAGUAUCUACACCAUAAUAACCAAGAAACAAUGAUUCAUUGUGAUCUGAAGCCUAGUAACAUUCUUUUGGAUGACAAUAUGACAGCUCAUGUUGGAGACUUUGGGCUGGCAAGAUUCAAAGUUGGUUCCACAAUCUCAUCUCUUGGUAACUCCAGCUCUUCUUCUAUUGCAGUAAUGGGGACAAUUGGAUACACCGCUCCAGAAUAUGCCGGGGGCUGUCAAGUUUCAACUGCCGCGGAUGUUUACAGCUUUGGUGUCGUUCUCCUCGAGAUAUUCAUUCGAAGAAGGCCGAUUGAUGACAUAUUUAAGGAUGGAAUCAAUGUAGUGAAGUUUAUAGAGGCCAGCUUUCCAGGUAGGGUAUUGGAGAUUGUUGACCCCCAACUGCUACAAGAGUUGGAGGAAAAUCCAAUGGCCUUGAAGGAAAAAUGUUCAAAAUGUCUUCUAUCUAUGCUAAACGUUGGCCUUUCUUGCACCAAGCCAUCCCCCGGCGAUCGUAUCAACAUGCAGGAGGUGGCUGCCAAGCUACAUAGAAUCAAGGAUGCUUAUCUCAAUGCUAACUGA